UACGGAGGGGGCGAGCGUUAUUCGGAAUUAUUGGGCGUAAAGGGCGCGUAGGCGGCCUUGCAAGUCAAAGGUGAAAUCCCUCGGCUCAACUGAGGAACUGCCUUUGAAACUGCACGGCUUGAGGCCGGGAGGGGGUAGCGGAAUUCCCAGUGUAGCGGUGAAAUGCGCAGAUAUCAGGAGGAACACCAAUGGCGAAGGCAGCUCGCUGGAACGGUACUGACGCUGAGGCGCGAAAGCGUGGGGAGCGAACAGG
rnacentral:rRNA from 1 species